rnacentral:rRNA from 1 species
UACGUAGGGGGCAAGCGUUGUCCGGAUUUAUUGGGCGUAAAGAGCGUGUAGGCGGUCAGGUAGGUCCGUUGUGAAAACUCGAGGCUCAACCUCGAGACGCCGAUGGAAACCAUCUGACUAGAGUCCGGAAGAGGAGAGUGGAAUUCCUGGAUGUAGCGGUGAAAUGCGCAGAUAUCAGGAAGAACACCCGUGGCUAAGGCGGCUCUCUAGUACGGUACUGACGCUGAGACGCGAAAGCGUGGGGAGCGAACAGG